AUCCCCAGAGAUGGGGCUUUCACUUCGGUGACCGAGAGACAGGUGCUGCAUGGCUGUCGUCAGCUCGUGUCGUGAGAUGUUCGGUUAAGUCCGGCAACGAGCGCAACCCACACUUUCAGUUGCCAUCAUUCAGUUGGGCACUCUGGAAGAACUGCCGGUGAUAAGCCGGAGGAAGGUGUGGAUGACGUCAAGUCCUCAUGGCCCUUACGGGUUGGGCUACACACGUGCUACAAUGGUGGUGACAGUGGGUUAAUCCCCAAAAGCCAUCUCAGUUCGGAUUGUCGUCUGCAACUCGACGGCAUGAAGUUGG
rnacentral:rRNA from 1 species